UUUUAGCAAUAUUCAAGCAAUAUCACGGCAGGGGACACCAGAAAUGGGCUUCACACAUUGUACAUUGUGGGAAUCAGACCCAGGUUGUGGGACUACU